rnacentral:rRNA from 1 species
UACGGAGGGAGCUAGCGUUAUUCGGAAUUAUUGGGCGUAAAGCGCACGUAGGCGGUCCGUUAAGUCGGAUGUGAAAGCCCCCGGCUCAACCGGGGAAGUGCAUCCGAAACUGGCGGGCUAGAGUACGAAAGAGGGUCGCGGAAUUCCCGGUGUAGAGGUGAAAUGUGUAGAGAUCGGGAGGAACACCGGUGGCGAAGGCGGGUCUCUGGGCAUCUCCUGACGCUGAGGCGCGAAAGCGUGGGGAGCAAACGGG